CUCCCAAACCCAAUGUGAACGUUACCAAACUGUUGCCUCGGCGGGAUCUCUGCCCCGGGUGCGUCGCAACAGCGGACCAAGACGCCCGGCGAAGUUGCCAGCGG
rnacentral:rRNA from 1 species